UCCCUGGUGGCUCAUAGGGUAAAGAAUCUGCCUGCAAUGCAGGAAACCCAGGUUUGAUCCCUGGGUGGGGAA
rnacentral:tRNA from 1 species